UCAGGCCUAACACAUGCAAGUAGAUGGGGUAGCAGGAUUAAUCUUGUUUAAUUGGUGACGACCGGUGCACGGGUGCGUAAUGCGUAUGAAAUAUACCUUAUAUUGGUGUAUAACCCGGAUAAAUUAGGAUUAAUCCCCCAUAGUACUGUUUUACUUCAUGGUAGAAUAGUUAAAGCGUCAGAGGUAUAAGAUGGGCAUGUGUCUUAAGAGUUAAAUGGUGAGGUAACGUCUUACCAUGGUUGCGAUAGGUAGUGGGCUUGAGAGGGUGGUCCCCCACAGUGGUAAUGAGAUCACGGACCAGACUCCUACGGGAGGCAGCAAUGAGGAAUAUUAGUCAAUGGGCGCAAGCUUAAGGGAGCCAUGCCGCGUGCAGGAAGAAUGCCCUAUGGUUUAUGGCUGCUUUUAUUUGGGAAUAAACCUCUUACGUGUGGAGAG
rnacentral:rRNA from 1 species